rnacentral:rRNA from 1 species
AACGAACGCUGGCGGCAGGCUUAACACAUGCAAGUCGAACGCCCCGCAAGGGGAGUGGCAGACGGGUGAGUAACGCGUGGGAAUCUACCCAGCUCUACGGAAUAACCCAGGGAAACUUGGACUAAUACCGUAUACGCCCUACGGGGGAAAGAUUUAUCGGCAAAGGAUCGGCCCGCGUUGGAUUAGCUAGUUGGUGGGGUAAAGGCCUACCAAGGCGACGAUCCAUAGCUGGUCUGAGAGGAUGAUCAGCCACAUUGGGACUGAGACACGGCCCAAACUCCUACGGGAGGCAGCAGUGGGGAAUAUUGGACAAUGGGCGCAAGCCUGAUCCAGCCAUGCCGCGUGAGUGGUGAAGGCCUUAGGGUUGUAAAGCUCUUUCACCGGUGAAGAUAAUGACGGUAACCGGAGAAGAAGCCCCGGCUAACUUCGUGCCAGCCGCCGCAGUAACAC